ensembl:lncRNA
CUUUUUAGUGACGUUAUCAAUCAUUUCUUCCAUGCAGAGGUCCUUGGCUUUCCGUUCUUCCCCAAUCUAAUCUUCAAGGAUAUUUUAGAAGACCAGUCAGUCCAAGUUGUUUCUCUUCUCUUUGUCAUGUUAAAGAAACAGAAUUUGGGAAAAUAAAACGGCUCACAGUGGGCAAGCCUAGAUCUCAACCUGCAACAGAAGAUGACUAAAGAAGUUAAUUUGGCCCAGGACUGAAAAAAAAUGGCAUCAUAAAGGAGAUAACAUUGGAUGGAAUGGUCAGAUGUGGAGAAAAAGUAAAACUAUGACUCAUCUAAUCUUCAUUCAGCUGAUGGAUGCUAAGUGUGAAUCACAGAUGUCUGUAAAUCAGGUCCCCACCUCCAGGGCUGCAGAAUCUGGAGGAAAACUAAAGAUUAAAGUGCACAAAGAACAAUACUGAUUUUCAUUAUUGAAAUAUUCAAAUGGCAACUGAGCUAUCCAAUUCAUCAAAGAAAUUAUAUGUUGAACAUGACACAGAUUUAUUGGACUGCAGAGCUGUCGCCUCUUCAGUUGUGACAACCGCAACUGUUUCCUGUUGGCAGAUACUGCCAGGAGUCCAGUGUGAAUUGAGGAUAAAAUCCCUUGCAGCUUGAAGUACUGGAUUAGAAGGAAAAUUCUAAAUGCAAUCUGCUAAUGGAAACAACACACUGCUGAGGAAAUCAAGGGAAAUUCAUAGUGUUUGGUGGCUGAUACAACUAUCUUGAAGCAUUUUCGGAGCACAAAAUAAUGAAAAGGUGAUAAAAACUUAAAUUUGUAAGAGACAUAGUUAAAUACUAGUUGUGUUUAGGGUCUAUAUAGCUUUCAGUGUUUGGGCUAUAGUUAAUAAAGAUAUAUAAAGGACAACGCAAACUCUGGCACUAUAGAAAUCAAUCAGAUUAUUGAGAUCUUUAAAUAAAAGGCUUUUUUUGUUUUUCAUUUUGUAGAAAUGCUAUUUGAAUAUAUAAAUGAAAGUAAUAAAACAUGCG